AACUCGGCCAUUUAGAGGAAGUACAAGUCGUAACAAGGUUUCCGUAGGUGAACCUGCGGACGGAUCAUAGUAAUCGUCUUUGACGUUCGCUUUUCCGUCGUCCUUGGGACAUUAAGGUGCUCUGGUCGAGGAUAAACGACCCCUCUGGCCGAGGUCAAACCCGUCGCUCUGUGUUACCUCUAAAAAAAAUUUUCCGAGGCACACCUUAAAGAUCGUUCCGCAUUGUGAGUCUAACACCAGUUGUAUAAACUUUUUACAACCGGUAGCGCUGGAUCCCUUGGCACGUCAUUCGAUGAAGACCGUUGCAAAUUGCGAUAAAGUGAUGUGAUGCGCAAGUCCACCACUUAUACGUGAAUCAUCGAGUUGUUGAACGCAUUGCACCGCGCCCUAAUCCGGCUGCGGUAUGCCCCUUUGAGCGUCAUUGUAUUCCUUCGGGAGUCCUUUUACAAGGACCCGAGUUCGGAGUCCUCGGUCCCCUGUGGAUCGUGUUCUCUCAGAUCCCUCGCACCGAUCGCCUGACGGGUCCUCUAAUGCCUAAGCGUGGAGUUCCUUCAGAGUCCGACACGUGCUUGACCGAGUCUUGAGCUCGUGUCACCAAGUCCGCCUACCAGCGGUACUACAACGCAUGACCUCAUUGGGGUAGGACAACCCGCUAGACUUAAGCAUAUUAAUCAGCGGAGGAAAAGAAACUAACCAGGAUUCCCUCAGUAACUGCGAGUGAAGCGGGAUCGGCUCAAUGUGUGAAUCUGGCGG
rnacentral:rRNA from 1 species